GAAGCCAUGGGCUUGGAACCAAAAUUCCACGCAGGAGGCAGACACGUGGUGGGCUGGACACGGACACAGAAAGGAGAGGUCAAAGGAUGGACAUGAGGUCCACAGGCAGCCGGGAGACAGAUGGAAUAAGGGGAGCCUGCACAUACAGGUGGGUGGGCUGAGCAGGACAAGGGGCUCCUCUCUUGGUGGCAGAGUCUCAAGGCAAACCCCCCUCAAGUGGCAGCUGCAGUGGUCUCUCUGCCUGUCUUCUGCCUUCAUUUGAAUGGCUGAUGUUUUGGGGGGAGUGUUUUUGGUUCUUGAAGGACAGAAGUGGAGAGAGAGAGCACAAACUGUAGUAAAGUUAACAUAAGUUGGGUUUUUUGGAAUGCAGAUUUAUUUCAGAAUUCUUAAUAUAAAGUAGAAUUUGUGUAAUGUAAAUUUACAUAAAGCAAGAACUGUCUACAGGAUAAAUGAAUAUAAACUAAGUAGUUAAAUAGAAGGUAGUUUGGGAAAAAGACAUCAGUUGUUGGGGGAACCAGAAAAGGUUUUUUUUUUUUUUAAUAUAUGAGAUGGUUCUUGAUAGGAACCUCAUAAAAGGCAAACCAUGAGACAGAAGUAAAAAGAGAGUAUAUUCCAGCUAUUAUGGAUGAAAAACCCAAAGAUGAAGACAUGUCCUGUGUGAGGAACAGAGUCCAAUUUGGCUGGAUUGAAGAUGUUGAGAAGAGAAAUAAUAGCCAACAAGGCUGGAAAUAUAGGUUGGGGUGAGAUUGUGAAGGCCUUAAAUGUCAAGCCAGGGAAGAAACUAGUAUCAUGGGAGAGGCUAUAGGUGUGUGAGAGUGGGGAGUGAUUAAAGAUGUAAUCUCCUGGAGAAAAUGGGAGAGGCUGGAGCCAAACAAAUGUAGAGGGAUUGGUCUUGGCAAGGAGAAGGGUCAUAUCUUUGUCAGACACCGGGGGAAAAAGUGCCGGGGUGUUUAAGAAUGAAGAGAAUGUCAGAUGGUCUCAAUUUUCUCACUAAAGUGAAAGGCAAGGUCCCCAUCUGAGAGAGAGGGAAAAAUGUGGGAGGCUCCAAGAAGGAAGAGAAAGUUUGGAAGCAUUUCUGUGGGCGUGAGACAAUGUGGGGAUCAAUUAAGGAAGAAAUCAGGACUGCUUGCUGCAAGGAGGGCCCUGCUGAAGUCAGCACUGCUGGGAGAACCCUUCCAGCUGUGUCAGACAGCUGGUGAGUAGGAGAAGAGAAGGGAGAUGGGGAGAGCAAUCCAAGCCCGAGGUUUGGCAAGAAGCGAGUGGCAAAAGGACACGGGAGAGCAACGGAGAGCGGUCAUGGCUAUCCAGGGGGCCGAUGUCAAGAGGGAGAAAAAGUGAAGUCAGAGUAAAGGGAAAGUACCGAAGAGUGGAGGGAAUGAAGGUCUUGGUGAGGGAAGGAUGAGCCAUAGGGAGAGGUGGAAUAACAAGGGAUCGGAAUUACCGAGUGGGAAGUAGAACACCUGGGUAUGGAGACGGCUAGUGUUUCAUUAUCCCAUGUGUGAUUGGCGUGAGAUCAUGAGGCAUUUAAAAGAGCAUCUAGGUCACUAUUAAAGUCCCCCGAUAUAAGGACAGACUGGGGAGAUGAUCUAAACACUGUGAGAAAGGAAGGAAAAUGACCCAGGGACUGGCAGUCUACAACCGUCUUAAUGUGGAAAUGAGGGCAUUUUGAUUGAGUUGUUACAAAGGAGGAAGAGCUGAUGAUGGACAGAAAUAAAGGGAAGAUCUGGACGUGACAGUGGGGCAGGAGCAAGAAGCAAUAUCCUUCCCCUCUCUCCCCUCUCCAGGACCAGUAUCUCAGGGAGCCAUGGAGGAGGACAGCCGUGGCCAGCACUAGGGGACAAGUCCAGAUCCUAGAAGGAGCCUUUCCCAGGCAGUGUCCUUCCAUUUGGAGACAGGUUUUAUUACCAUCCCAUUAUGUCUCCUCAAGUGAGCUUUCCCAAGACUCAUAAAAGGCUCCACCCGGCACUGCAGAGGAAAGCUGACAACUUUGAAUAAUCACCCUUCGAGACUCUGGAUGAGGCAGACGCUUCCUGUGAAUCCAUCCAUCCUCAGUGAACAAAGAGCGUCCCUGUUCAGCACUUCCUCUUCCUCACCCCGGCAUGGUACAGGCAAAUGGAACUCUUGUUUGAAUGAAGAGACGUGGUUCAGAUUUUAAUUUGUUUCCCAGGUGAAAAGAGAGAGGGGUUGCCACUUUUGCAAGCCAGAAUGUCAAAGAGGCGUGGAAAGUGAGGGCGAAGGUUCUCCUCAUUUGUUUUAGACUCUUAAGAGCUUUGUUAUUUCCACCUUAUCUUUUUACUCAAUGGUAGGCAGUUUCAUACUACAAAGACUUCUUAUUUUCUUAAUGGACUGGAAAUAUCUGACCCUUUCCAUACUGUUUAGCUAUCCUGAUACAAUGCAUAGCAGGGUUGUUUAUGUUGUGUUUCCAAGUAAUGUUUAUUUAAAGGAGGGCUGUAGUAUACCAAACACUACCUAUCAAAAGACAAACACUGUAAUCAUGGGGGUGGACAGGA